rnacentral:rRNA from 1 species
UACGUAGGGCGCAAGCGUUGUCCGGAAUCAUUGGGCGUAAAGAGCUCGUAGGCGGCCUGUUGCGUCCGCUGUGAAAUCUCGGGGCUUAACCCCGGGCGUGCAGUGGAUACGGGCUGGCUGGAGGCAGGCAGGGGAGAACGGAAUUCCCGGUGUAGCGGUGAAAUGCGCAGAUAUCGGGAGGAACACCGGUGGCGAAGGCGGUUCUCUGGGCCUGUACUGACGCUGAGGAGCGAAAGCGUGGGGAGCGAACAGG